GGGAAGCCGGUGAGAUCCCGGCGCGGUCGCGCCACUGUAUUCGAUGCCUGUCGAGAGCCAGACC
rnacentral:ncRNA from 1 species